rnacentral:tRNA from 1 species
GGAGGAAUGCGAGAGUGGCUGAAUCGGCACGCUUGGAAAGCGUGUAGCCAUCCAAAAGGUGGCUCCUGGGUUCGAAUCCCAGUUCCUCCG